AUCCAUCUGACGAGUCCAAAAUAGGACGAAACGCGUGUCCUGGAU
rnacentral:hammerhead_ribozyme from 1 species